CGACGUGAGCAAUCUGCCCAUAUCAGGGGAAUAACAGUUAGAAAUGACUGCUAAUACCGCAUAGGACCACGGGGAGGCAUCUCUCUGAGGUGAAAGAUUUAUCGGAUAUGGAUGAGCUCGCGUCCCAUUAGGUAGUUGGUGAGGUAACGGCCCACCAAGGCGACGAUCAGUAGCCGGCCUGAGAGGGUGGACGGCCACAUUGGGACUGAGACACGGCCCAAACUCCUACGGGAGGCAGCAG
rnacentral:rRNA from 1 species